rnacentral:misc_RNA from 1 species
GUGAAUCAUCAAAUUUUUGAACGCAAAUUGCACUCUCUCGGAGAGUAUGCCUGUUUGAGGGUCAGCAUAUAAAAAUUGACAUAGUUGCUGUUUCGCGGUGGCGUUCGUCGGAAAUUGGGUCAUCUUAAAUCAUUUUGGUUUUUAAGCGGCUUAAACUUUUCUUUACGAUUCCACGAACGUUUCUAAGAUUUACUUACACGUUUAAGGUAUCGAUCUUUAUUAGACGUGGCCGUUGCAUCGGAUCGCGUCGAUAAAUAUUUCGUUAACUGACCUCAUACA